UUAUUUAUUCUGCACGCUGUGAUCCAGCAGCAUUCUAUAUGUGUAAUAAACAUCUAAGCACAGUCAAUAGGUACUGUUGGUGCUUUAGCAUGGACAUUUCCCAGUGCUGUUAAUUGAGUUUAUGGGGCAGGGUCCUCCUUAAAAUUGUACUUAUAAGGUUUAGAAUAAAUACAAAUAUUUGAAAUUGUUUUCAUGAUGUAAAAGGGUCGAAGGAAAAUAAGCUAAAGGGGAGUUAUUUUUAUAGACAUCAAGCAAUGAAGAAAUCUGAGGGGAUCUUUUCUUCGUGGUUGCCACCAAGAGCAUCGAGUAACUUUUUUCCUGAGCAUUGUCUUAGAAUCCCGAGAAAGGUAGAUCACAGUCUGUAAACAGGAGACAUGAAGAGAAGAGACUUGGGCUGAGAAUUCUGAUCAAGAGCCAACUUUUUGGUUGGGAGCCAACAGUCUUGUUGUGGAAGUACCCAUGACUUUCCCAAACCAUUUGGCUCACCUCCUGACGUAAUUGCAUCUGAGAGACAAAUAUUUAAAUGGGCUGGAGAGAAGGUAAUGGAAGGAUUUCAAUUACCAAAGAGCAUACUGGAUUACUUUAAGUGGCAUAAAUCGGCCUUAAGGCAAACUCAAAGACCAGGCACAGCAUAGUUUUCCAAUGCAAUAUGCAUCUCCCCUCUCAAAAGGUAACUUUCUGUGCUCUCAGGCAAUGUAAAACAAAGGCUAGGAGUUGAGAUGUAAUUUGAGUGGAAAUCUAUUGGGAAACACAAAUCAUAAUUUCAAAUAUGGAGCAAAGCCAAAAUGGUUGAGCCUUCUGAAAUAAUGGUCAAAGGGCUGAAGCUGUGCUUGAAAAUGAAUACAGAUGAUUUUAAAAAUUUAUGCAAGUAUAAAUUGAAAAUUGUUGCGUGGUACCAACCAAUGAGAAGCAGUGAUAAAGUUUUAGAGCAAGACAUAAUACCUUACACACCUUGCCAAUUAAAAAGCUCAGUCUCUUUGCAUUUAAGAACUUCAGCAAAAUAGAACAGAGCUUAGGACAGAAUGGGGGGGGGUACAUGCCUCACUUGUCUUUCUCAGCUCUGGCUAUGUGGGUGCAAAGACAAGCUGAGGGAUUUAGCUGGAUCCAUUUCUGAUCGCAGGGUUGGCAGGAGCGUUGUGGGUGGAACUAUGUCUUUCUCUUUCUUCUUUCUCUUCUUUCCUUUGCAUCUUGCCUUUUGGCUUCUUCUUGUAUGUUCAUUGUGCUACUAACCCUGUAAGGCAAUGUGGUUUCUUUCACCACCACCCCCUCUGCCCCACACUGGAGCCUUUGAUCCCUGUUUCCUACACAGACUUUCUUUAUUACAGUUCUUACAUUCUCCUCACCUGCCAAAGCCCACCUGCUCAUAACAUAGAAUUCCAAAUUCUCUCGUUUCCUCUUGCAAGCUGCUUCAUUUAGUCUGUCUACUAGUGUGCUUGCUGCUUCACCAAGCCAGUCAAGUAACACAAGUAUUUCAUAUUUGAUUGCUGACCAAAAGUUGUGGAGAAAAGACCACAUUGAAAGAGCCUAGACCACACUGAAAGAGCCUAGACCCAGAAAAUAACAAAUCAAACAAAAUAGCUAUACAUCUUGUUGGUAAAAAAACAAAAAACAAAAAACAAAAAAGACAGAAAUAGAACCUCAUGAAUUUUGAAAUGCUACAAAGCUAGUUGUUAUAGGUUGCUUUCUAUAUGUGAGACUCUGAAAUUGCUUACUUCAUCUUCUCUGUGACUGCUGAAAGACAGUGCGAGGCUGAAAGAGCUGAAAGGUAGAUUAAUUUUCCCAAGCCAACAUGUCCAGUUAAUGCUUCAGCCUAUAUCUAAAUCCAGGCUGUCAGAUCCCAGAGUCACAUCUUAGCCUUUAUAUUCUACUGCUCCCACCCUCUCUCUCAAAGCUUUCAUAAACAUUAGCAAAAACUAUUAGCUAGUAGGUAUUUUGGAGUAUAUUUAUCCUUAUGGUGUGUUAUAUCACAAACCAAAAGGAGCCAGGAAAAGUGUUUGAAUGUAUCUUAAGCCAUGAAAAAGCAUUAGAAAACACAAUACAUAAUUAAUUUUAACUCUUCGGGAAUAUUAAUUUCCCAACUUCUAUGCAAGAGAAUAUUUUAAAUAAAGACACACCUUUAUUAGCAGUUUGCUAGAUUAUGGUACUUUCAAAAUUCUGCUAGCACUCAAAAUAACAAGCCCAAACACCAACAGUACCAGAAGACAUUUGCAAAAACUUUGAUCAAUAGCAUAUCUACGUCCAGUUGAUAUAUUGAUAUAGGAGCUCCAAUAUUAACACAAAAAAUGCAAAGAUCUUAAACAGAUAAAGUCACAGAAGGUGAACAACAAAUGACAGUAAUAAAUCAAGCAGCCGACACACAAUGAGAGUUAUUUCUCAACUAGUUUUAUUAUAAAAGCGUCAUAGACAAAUCCAGGGUACCUCACAAGACCAAUUAGAGUAAAGAAGAGAUUUCAAACAAGCUUCAAUGAAAAAUGAAGAAAAGUGAUGAGGAAAGAUCUUCUGGGAAAGCUGAGUCGGGAGCCUUGGAAGACAGCAGAUGAUAAACAUGACGAGCAGGUACCAAGCUCUGGCUCAGGGGAACAUCAGACAUGGAACUGUCCAGAGAGCUCACUGGGAAGCAAGCUCGGCACACAGAUGCAGUUUAUGGCAGUGGCCUUAAAAGCUUAAGGUACAUCAAACUCUUCUGUGAACUUCACAACAGAGACUUUUAUACAUACUUCCAGAAUUCCUUUCUGGCUAAGCUGGAGUGCAUCCUACUAACAGCACAUCUCUAAGAGAGUUUUCAGGGAUCCUGAUGGGUAGGGCCUAGCUUUGGAGGACCACAGAGUCACAGUCACCUGCUGAUACAAUGGGUGAGAGCAGGGAGCACAGUGAAGUCAAUAGUGUUGAAAAAAAAAAAGGAAAUAAAGACAGGGAGGUGAGGGUAGGGUGGAGAGACAGAAACAGUGUGGAAAGAGGGUUGCAAAACAAAGGGGAAUUUUCUUAGCCUCUGGCCCCCAGAAGUUAUCUGGCCAGAGAAGCUCACUGGGCAGACUGUACUCUAAAUCUAUGAGUGUUCUUCUCCUAUCCUGCCCCACCUCCUUGCUUCCACUCACUGACAGUUCUAAUCAGCCAUUGAUCUCCUAGUGCUACCCUUUCCGGGUCUUCACCUCUAACCAAUUCACGUCACCUAACUCACCAUGCUUUUAGCUUCCCACUGAAAACCUUUUAGUGAAUCUCGGAACUUGCUCUAAGGCUGACAUCCUUGGCAAACCAACAGUCUUUGAUAAUUCUCUCCAUUGCUGUCUUAGUUAUUGUUUUCUGUUGUUAUGAACAAACAUCUUAUGAAAAGUAGGGGGGAAGUGUUUAUUUCGGCUCAAAGUGGAAGAAGAGCUAUAUCAAGCAAGGGAGGGAGAAGGAAGGGAGGUGGCUAAGAACAGAAUACAUGGAGUCAUGUGUACACAGAGGCCUGGCUAAAACUAAGGGUCGUUUGAGGGGUACUAUGGAAACCUAACAUUGUAAAUGCUUCCUGAAAAAUAUACAUAUAUGAAGAGGAUCUAAAUGAAAUUGAUAAGUAAUGGGUGAAAAAGUGCCCCAGCUGGACAUCUCUUGUCACUAAAUGAAGCUUUCAGUACCAGUAAUGGGUUACAUCUAAUUGAGUUGUGGGCCAAAGGGCUCCCAUGGGUAUCUCCAAACAACCCCGGGCUGUUGCCAAGACUACAGGUAGUUCUGACAAACUGAUGGCUACUCCAUAUUGCUAAAGCCAAUACCUACACAACUCAUUGAACAUGGAGGUAUUGUCUUUAGCAAUUAGGGCCUUCAUCCCUACAUGCAUCUUUGGUACAGGAAGCUACUCUGUUAGCUACCAAAGGAGAAACAUAUACACCAACCCAGCUACAAAUUUUUGUAUCUACAAUGGUGACCUGCCUGAUAUAUAUGCUAGUGCAGAGGUGGUACAGACCACUAUCGGUUUAGUAGUAAACCAAUAUCUUACACUUGACUUAAAACCCACUCCCUGAGAUGGAAGCCAUAUCCAACACUGUUUGGAUGACCAAGAAACUAAGUAUAUUUAGCCAAAGGACAGAGGGUAUCCAAAUACUAUUGUUAAAAAAACAAUACAAAACAUCAUCCCCCAAAAUAAAGCAAUAAGAUGACUCUUGAUGACAUUCUGCUAUUAUUAUAGAUCAGUGACUUGCUCAGCCAUCAUCAAAGAAGCUUCCUGGUACAUCAGAUGGUAAAAAUACAGAGGCCCACAGCCAGGCAAUAUCCAUAGUGAGAGACCUUGGAAGGCUCAGUUCUUAAAUGGAAUGUCUCUAUCAAAUCCCUCUCCUCAGGGCUCAGGAAAUUCUUCUGAAGAGGAUGCAGAGAGAGCCUUAGUCCCAGAGGGUAUGGAGGACACUAAAGAAACAAGACCCUUUAAGCACAGCAGGCCCAAGGUGCAUAGGAAUCCACGGAGACAGAGGCAGCACAGGUGGGGCCUGAGUGAGUCUGCACCAGAUGGAGACCGAAUUGAAAGAAAAAGCAGGUUCAUGCCUGCCAUCCUUAAGCCAGUAGCAAUAUGUACUUGAUAACUACUUGAAGAUAGAAAUUUAGUUUUCUCCAAAGGAGUCUCACUGAGGAAAUACACUACUCUUAUGUAGGUCCAAUGCUCAGCAGUAGAUGGCCAACAGAACAUGAAAAUGGACUUUCCUUUUCCUUGUCCCAUGGCAUGUCUGGGCCUUUUCUAUUCUUCCUCCUUUUAUUUUUUUAUUUUUUAUUUUUAUCUUUUUACUUUUUAUUUUUACUCCCCCCUCCCCCACCUUUUCCUACAGGUCCUUGGUUCUGAUUUUGUGUUUUUAAUGGGAUUCCCAAGUGUGUGAACGAGAGGAUUUCUUUGUGUGUGUGUGUGUUUGUGUGUGUGUGUGUGUGUGUGUGUGUGUGAAACUAUUGUCAGUAAAUUACAACAGGGGCAAGAUCAUAAAAAAAUAGAAGAAUGUAUAUAGUGUACCCUAGCAGGGAAACAAUGGAGGGAAAAGGAUGGAAGUGGUGUGGAUACAAGGCGCAUAUGACAUCUAUAAAUCAUAAGAAACCCAAAGCCACUAGAGCUACAAGAGGGGAAAGAAACACUCUUCCUCAAAAGACCAUUCCUGUCACCACUUCCGUUGCAGACCAGUGGCCCUUAGAGCCUGUCUACAAUGGAUUUCUGUCAUUUUAACAACCUGGCAUAUGGUACUGUUACUGCUGCCUAGCGAGGAUACUAAUACCGACCCUAGACAUCCAGAGACUUGGGAAGGGGUGGAAACUCGCAUUCUGGUACAAUGUGACUGUAAGUGCCACCUCCGCAGAGCGAUCAGCUCAGUAGUGAGUGAAGAAGGUGGGUUGCUCACCCGUAGCACCAAGUCUGGAUUGCUCACUUAUUUAGAACUGAACAGAGAAGAGGAGUCAGCCAUACAGUGGAAGAGUGCACACAUCCUGGGAGUGGGAAGGAAUCGGAAGAGUGCAGUGUCAUAGAGGCCAAAACCCACAAAAACUUCAAAGCUUUUGUUCUUUUUCCAUGUAAAGGCAGCAUAAAGCACUGCUAGAAGGAUAAGCGAUGAAGAUAAAGCAAGAGCUGCUUUUGGGCACACCAUGCUCAUUAUGGACCGAUGGAGAUCCGUUUCUUAUAUACUUGAAGUGGGUGGAGAACAGAAUUGGGUGCCAGAGCCAGAACCUCUAAUCAUGAGUUGCUGAGACACCCUGAGGGCCCCUUUGUGAAGGACUCAGCUAGAAGGAUCUUGCUGAUGGAAACUCACUACCAGCAGAUAACACGUGCUUAUGGCCUUCCCACCCCUAGCACAUGCAUUAAGUGUUCUGAAACAUUUCCACCCGUCUACUGGCUGAAAAUGAUGUACAAUUUUUGUAUUGAGUUCAAUGUCAUUGGUCAUCAAUGGGGUGGAAUGCAUUUCAUCACUUGCCAUCUGAUUGUCUUAUUACAGAAAUUCCCUCUAAUCAUGUUUCUACUGGAAAAAAUAUAUAAUUGACCAUAAGAGCUCAAGAAUAGUAUUUACCACAGUGAGCUUUGAUCUAAGAUGGAGUCUUUAUGUUCUUCUCAAAUGUUUGCUUCUAAGCAGGCCUUCUUCUACAGACUUUGUUUUUGUGAAAUCUACAAACUCUUUCCUUCGGCAUUUUUUUCUUUUGCUCACAUACUCUGAAAGACCUAAAACAAAACUGGCAUUUUAAAAGAAAUUGGGGCCAGACUCCUUGGACAUUAAGUAGUGACAAACAUUUAAAGAGAAAAUGGCACCUGGAUUGUUAGAUUUUUUUUUUAAACGUUGGGAGAUUAUGCAUCAUGAGUCCAUGAAAGACAGAAAUAACCAUGAUUCACAAUCACUGUGUGACUGUGGUUUCCUAAGAAUCAUUACACUUCAAAGUCUACUCUAGAGCCUGGCACCGCUGACCUUCUGUUCUUUCUGUGUCUUUGUUCCAUGCCAAGACACCCAUUUUGUCUUUCCUGAGUCCUGUUACAAACCUAGACAGUUUGCUGAGCUCGCAGUUGAGAUCUGCAACACCUCCUGUUGCACUGUGUUUCCCUGGCUCCCCAGGAAAAUGUUAAGUGAAAAAUGCUUCGUAGAGAGCAGAUGUGUUUGUCGUUAAAGCUGGCAAUGCCUUCCAAAGUAAAGACAUGGAAAGAUUACACAAACUAUACAUGAAUGGCAGGAAGAAACUCUCAGUUUCUCUUAGUUUGCUCAGGCAAACUAAGGCAGAGGGCCACCCCAAAAGGAUUUAAAAAUAUCAGGUAAGAAUAUUAUUGACUUUCAUAUUGACUGUAAUACAGACAUAAUUGACUGUAAAUACUACUUACUGUGGUUUAUUUAGAUAGAUUCACAGAGACGUCAGAUUCUACACUCAGUACUUUAUCCAGCUUUCAUUUCAUUAGAGAUUUCCUGGGAUGUGGUAUAUUUUUAAACCAUAAAGCUAAGAAAGUAACAGCUAAAAACCGGCAUUUCAUAGGAAUAUGCCAUGACUUGGAAGGCUUGGGAAGGUCUAUGCGUAUACUUUUAAAAAAUGUUGUUUUUUGUUUUUGCUUUGGAUAAUUGUGCAACAUCUAUGAGGAUUGAGUUAAGAAAUUUACUGGACUAGAAUGUAGUUUGUAUACAGCAAAUAUACAAAGUAGUAACAAACAGUGAACUAAGUAAUGGCAUAUUGUCUUUGUCUAAUUUCUAUCGUCAUAUUCAACUUUCUCUGGGAUUAUUAAAGACCUAUAAUUAUAUCAUGUAUAUUUUCAGCAAAAAUAAAUCUGUUGUUUAUGUUGUUUGUGGAACA